GUCGAUUGGGUGUUGUUUUUUACAUACCAGUUUUUCGUGUUGGAGUGGGUCUAUUACGACCAUUCGAUA
rnacentral:tRNA from 1 species